UACGUAGGGGGCAAGCGUUAUCCGGAUUUACUGGGUGUAAAGGGAGCGUAGGUGGCCAGACAAGUCAGAUGUGAAAACCCGGGGCUCAACCCCGGGACUGCAUUUGAAACUGUCCGGCUUGAGUGCAGGAGAGGUAAGUGGAAUUCCUAGUGUAGCGGUGAAAUGCGUAGAUAUUAGGAGGAACACCAGUGGCGAAGGCGGCUUACUGGACUGUAACUGACACUGAGGCUCGAAAGCGUGGGGAGCAAACAGG
rnacentral:misc_RNA from 1 species